rnacentral:misc_RNA from 1 species
GAACGCACAUUGCGCCCCCUGGUAUUCCGGGGGGCAUGCCUGUCCGAGCGUCAUUGCUGCCCUCAAGCCCGGCUUGUGUGUUGGGUCGCGUCCCCCUCCCCGGGGGGACGGACCCGAAAGGCAGCGGCGGCACCGCGUCCGGUCCUCGAGCGUAUGGGGCUUUGUCACCCGCUCUGUAGGCCCGGCCGGCGCUUGCCGAUCAACCACAAUUUUUUCCAGGUUGACCUCGGAUCAGGUAGGGAUACCCGCUGAACUUAAG